rnacentral:tRNA from 2 species
GGAGAGAUGGCCGAGUUGGUUAUGGCGUCAGGUUAAGGUCCUGAUGGGGCAACCCGCGUGGGUUCGAAUCCCACUCUCUUCA